UUUUCUUUACUAGCGAGUUCAGAACAUAAGCUCCUCUUCAAAGUAAACACAGGCCCAUGAAAACUUGACAGAAAAGGAGUGGAGGAUGUGAACUGGAUAGAUAUGGGAUAAAGUAAUAAAAGUGAGAGGGAAGGAAGUUGAGUUACAGAUGGUUAACUCCCACUUGUAUGUCCCGUGCUGGUGAAGUAAUACCAGGUGUACAUCAACUGUUAUGGGAAUGAGGUGGAAACAAGGGUCUUUGAAUAGAGGUGGGGGGAGCAAACCUCUGCUAAAGUAGACACAGAGAUCAGAAGCAACGAAGUCAAAGCUGCUUCCCACCAAGCUGUGUGGUCCCAGAUCAAUAAAUGUCCACAGGACAAAAGCAGUGCCAACUGUGGGGCUCACCUUCCUGGAUUCCUGUCUUCUUCCUAGAUCUUGGUCCGGUCAUUCUUCCUGCUUUGAUCAAGCAAUC
rnacentral:lncRNA from 1 species